GCCCACUUAGUAUAGUGGUUAGUACUCCACGUUGUGGCCGUGGCGACGCUGGUUCGAUUCCAGCAGUGGGCA
rfam:Caenorhabditis briggsae complete genome, chrIV